GUGGUUGUGGCUCAGUGGUAGAAUGUGUGCUUAGCAUGCACGAGGUCCUGGGUUCAAUUCCCAGUACCUACU
rnacentral:tRNA from 1 species